GACGGGGGGUGCAAGCGUUGUUGGAAUCAUUGGGCGUAAGCGUGCGUAGCGGUUAUUUAAGUCGGGUGUGAAAGCCCCGGGCUCAACCUGGGAAUUGCAUUCGAGACUGAAUAGCUAGGGUACGGUAGAGGGAAGUGGAAUUUCCGGGUUGUAGCGGUGAAAUGCGUAGAUAUCGGAAGGAACAUCAGUGGCGAAAGCGACUUCCUGGACCAGUACCGACGUUCAGGCACGAAAGCGUGGGGAGCAAACACGG
rnacentral:rRNA from 1 species